rnacentral:rRNA from 1 species
UACAGAGGUCUCGAGCGUUGUUCGGAUUCAUUGGGCGUAAAGGGCGCGUAGGCGGCCAGCACAAGUCAGUUGUGAAAUCUCCGGGCUUAACUCGGAAAGGUCAACUGAUACUGUGCGGCUAGAGUGCGGAAGGGGCAACUGGAAUUCUCGGUGUAGCGGUGAAAUGCGUAGAUAUCGAGAGGAACACCUGCGGCGAAGGCGGGUUGCUGGGCCGACACUGACGCUGAUGCGCGAAAGCCAGGGGAGCGAACGGG